CAGUCGCCACGGUAAUACGGAGGAUCCAAGCGUUAUCCGGAAUCAUUGGGUGUAAAGGGUCCGUAGGCGGUCUUGUAAGUCAGUGGUGAAAGCCCAUCGCUCAACGGUGGAACGGCCAUUGAUACUGCAGGACUUGAAUUAUUGGGAAGUAACUAGAAUAUGUAGUGUAGCGGUGAAAUGCUUAGAGAUUACAUGGAAUACCAAUUGCGAAGGCAGGUUACUACCAAUUGAUUGACGCUGAUGGACGAAAGCGUGGGUAGCGAACAGGAUUAGAUACCCGUGUAGUCCCUGUCUCUUAUAC
rnacentral:rRNA from 1 species